rnacentral:lncRNA from 1 species
GAAGAGUCAUUGAACAAAUAUUCUAAAGCUGCAACUUUAGGUAUUCAUCCAUAUAAACGAAUGUGCAUAGCUAUUAAAAGUGAACCAGGAACCAACAUAAAUAUAGCGUAGAGAUUUUCAUGUACCUGAUCGAUGCAAAAGUUAACUAAAACUUUUGUGAAACGAAGACUACUCCAGCAGCUUGCUGGUAACUCUUUGGAGCAACCCUUUGCAUAUUAACCUCGUGGAAGCAUGACCAUAGGUUUUUAAGAGUUUUCAAUAUCUCAUUAAAAACACUGCACGUUUUAGCCGUUGAUGCGUAUAUAAGGUGGUUAUAUAUUGAUUUCAUUUCUUUGACCAUGAAGGAAGUUUAAAUCUAAAACAAUAAAGUAUUAGGCUAUGUAUAUCACCUACGUGUAUAACCAUCAUCAUAAGCUUACCCAUCAUCUGUUUUACUUGAAGGCACGUGAUUGUGGAAUCACCUGCACAGAAAGAAAGAAGGUUUCUCGGGUAAGAAGAAGCCAAUGAUGAUCCUUAUGAAGUUAUAAGCAUCACAUCACAUAGAACAUGAUAAAACCCAAAAAAAAAAAAAUUAAACAUGACAAAGCCUACAAACGUUGUAAGAAAAGUAAGUUGACUCAAAAGUACCAUCAUCAGGUCAAGCCAUAGAUUAGAUUGGAAGUUUAACAGUGAUGAUUAAAACAUACUGACAGAAAGACCAAGUUGUCUCAUGCACCUGCUGUGGAUUUCAACGUAUUCUUCAUAAGACUGCAAAAACAAACAAAAAAAUAAGCACAAGACUUUGUCAAAGAUUAGACAAAAAACAUCACUUCAAAACUGGAGCUCAUGAUGCUUCUCAAGAAACAUAAGAAAGCCCCUUUUGAUGCAAAACUUUAGCUAAACCCUGAGAUAUGGAUCAGAUAUAUCCCGGAUGCUUAAAAAAAAAACACUAUAAACUUUUGCUACAUUGGCUCUCGAAAGGCAAACCCCAUGAGUUGGAUCGUAAAUACUUUUCUUUCUCCCGGAAAUAUUCUGAGGCUACACCAUAUCCUCUCUGCUAUGCAACAUGGAAUCUGCUGAGGUCAUCCUGGUUUGAGUAGACCAUAGAAGGGUAGGCAUCCG